UGAAGAACUCCAGAGAAGAGUCUCGUACUUCCCAGCAAGGACUGCACAAACGCUUCUGCAGCACCAGGAACACCUCUGUGAAAGCCAAGCAGGAGGGAGGAAUUGAGAUGAAAGGGAGAAGAUGCCACUGGAUUUCUCAGGUGCACAACAGAUGAGGCAACACCUUAAACAGCAAUAAGGCAGAGUCCAACUGGAUACAUGGGAAAAUACUUUUCAUAGUGAGACUGUAAAGAACUGGAACUGGUUUCCCAGAGCAGCUAUGGAAUCCCCACCCUUUGGGAUAUUUGAAACUGGAUUGGUGAAGGCCCUGAGCAACCCAAUCCAUCUCUAAAUGCAGUCCUGCAAUGUAUAAGAAGUCAGAUUAGAUCACCUAUACUGCUUCCUUCCAAAUUAAGUUUUCCUACUGUUGACAGAGAUGCACGAUGUGUGCAAGAUGCACACUUCUGUUGGACAGUGGUUCAAGUUGUUACACUUGUUAGUGCUCAUGUGAAAAGUAACCAAAUACUUCUAAAUUUGACAGUCAAAAUAUCCAUCUUAAACAACCUUGGCCUUAAAAAGUUAAAGGAGCUUUGAUUUUCUGUCCGAAAUUGCUGUCUGUAGGUAAGAUACAAAAGGGCAUGUGUGUGAACAUGA